rnacentral:lncRNA from 1 species
AUCCUAACUCUAAUAGAAUACUAACUAAACUCUAAUUAGACCAUAACAAUGCUAAAUAAGCUUUAAUCAAAUUCAAAGAAACUUCAAAGGAAUUAUAAAGAAAUAAUAAGAAAUCUUAAAGAAAUAUUAAAAUAAUCAAAAAUAUAUUUCAAAUACAUCUCAAUUCAAUCUUAAUUUAAUUCUAGUUAAAAUCCUAUUGGACUUCAUUCAAACUUUAGGCCAAAAACUAACUAAAUCUUGAAUCCUAAAUAACUCAAAUAAAACCUUAAAUUCUAAAUCAAAUCCUAACCAAAUCUUCAAUCCUAAAUCAAAUCCUAACCAAAUCCUAAUCAAAUCCUAAAUCCUAAAUCAAAUCCUAACCAAAUCCUAAAUCAAAUCCUAAAUCCUAA